rnacentral:rRNA from 1 species
ACGGCUCAGUAACACGUGGACAAUCUAACCUACGGAAGGGGAUAACCCCGGGAAACUGGGGAUAAUACCCUAUAGACUAUGGAUGCUGGAAUGCUCUGUAGCUGAAAGGUCCGCCGCCGUAGGAUGGGUCUGCGGCCGAUUAGGUUGUUGUUGGGGUAACGGCCCAACAAGCCUGUAAUCGGUACGGGUUGUGGGAGCAAGAGCCCGGAGAUGGAUUCUGAGACACGAAUCCAGGCCCUACGGGGCGCAGCAGGCGCGAAAACUUUACAAUGCGAGAAACCGUGAUAAGGGAACUCUGAGUGCCCGUUAAAUCGGGCUGUCCAUCAGUUUAAAUAACUGGUGAAGAAAGGGCCGGGCAAGACCGGUGCCAGCCGCCGCGGUAAUACCGGCGGCUCGAGUGGUGGCCACUAUUACUGGGCUUAAAGCGUUCGUAGCUGGUUUGCUAAGUCUCUGGGGAAAUCUUCCGGCUUAACCGGAAGGCGUCUCAGGGAUACUGGCAGACUAGGGACCGGAAGAGGUGAGAGGUACUCCAGGGGUAGGAGUGAAAUCCUGUAAUCCUUGGGGGACCACCUGUGGCGAAGGCGUCUCACCAGGACGGCUCCGACAGUGAGGGACGAAAGCUGGGGGAGCAAACCGGAUUAGAUAUCCGGGUAGUCCCAGCCGUAAACGAUGUGCGUUAGGUGUAUCGGUGACCACGAGUCAUCGAGGUGCUGAAGAGAAAUCGUGAAACGUACCGCUUGGGAAGUACGGUCGCAAGGCUGAAACUUAAAGGAAUUGGCGGGGGAGCAC